CAACAGUUUGAAGAACAGCUGAACAAUCAAAUUAUGGUGGCGGUCCAUUCUACACAAUAGUAUUCAACAUUUGUUAACUGGGAAUUAUGGUGGCCAAAUUUUCCAAUAUUGGUUUACUUCAAAGAGACACAGACAAAACCUGAAGGACAAGUCCACUUUCUCCCAGUGAUCUUUAAUGGAAAGCAACUCUAUGAUGUUAUGGUAGAACGAGCAGGUCCAUCAAAGACUAGCUUGCCAAAGUAGUUCAAGAAAGUUGGUGUUCUAGUGCAAUAGUCAGGGUAUCUUUUGGAGAUUCCAGUUGCACCGUGGCGGCAAAAAGCUAGUAGUUCCUGGAGCUGAAUCCUUUGUUUGCAAGUGGUGCACUUUUGGUUCCUUCGUUCUUCUAUUUUUUCCUUAAGGAGCGACGAAAGGCUGUUGAAAAGAUGGAGAAGUCAGCGACUCAAGUAGUUGAUAGUAAUCUAUAUUUGUGACUUGAAAUCAGUGUUCUGCUAACUCCAUAGCUUUCAUCAUCUCUUUACAUAAACGUUAGAUUCAUGUUUGGCAGGCAUACUUUCCCUCUCAAAUGUCUACAUAUGCAUGUUUUGCUUUUUGCAGAUAGUGUGCAAUUGUUAGAUAGUAAGACUUUUAUCUUUGGACCAUAAGUUGCUGAUAAAUUUAAAUCUAGUAUCUAAACAUUGUGGAAAUUUGAUCUCUAAUUUUUAAAUGAUGUUAUCAAGUCUAGUUCCUGAUUGGAUUGAAUUUGAUUUCAUUCUUUGUGAUUCUAUUUUAUUGUUGCAAGAAGCACGGCUUAAAAAUUUUGUGUUUUAGAAGUUUAAUCAUUGAUAUAUCUAGCAACAAGGAAAUGCUAAACCUUUAUUUGUUAUUCCUUUCAAAAUCUUGACAUAUUGUGGUAAUGUUGACAGUAAUAAUUUGACUUUGCCAGCUUUCUCUACCAUUUGGGAUAUGUCAUGUCAGUGCAAGUAUUGUCUAGUUCCCAUAUUUUGUAGAGGCUUAAAAAAUCAAAAAGCUAUGCGAAGUUUGAGCAUGUAAAAAUUAGCUUUGUUUACAAGGAAAAGCCUUGUUGGAUAAUGAUAUAUUAUCAACAAAUUUUCCUUCCUUUGAAUCUGUGUCUCAACAAGAAGAAACAUAAUUUUUUUGGAAAAUGCCAAUAAACUUUAGUUGGGUUUAAAUUGAAAUUUGUAAUUACUAAAGUGCUUUUGAUAUCUUCCCAAGCCUGUAAAUUUACCCUUGUCUAUGUUUCUAUGCAGUACUAGACUUAAUACCGUCUAACUCUUCAUUUUGAUUUGUUUUGACUGUGCUUAUUUAGAUUUGGGAGGCUAGGGAUGCGGCUGGGAAAGCACAGUAGUUGUUGCGGAAUGUCUCAAACAGGAAGAAAAAUAAACAGUUUGAGAAAGUGCGGAUUAGUUAUUACCAGGGCAGUUUAUAGAAAUCGUGAAGCAAUCAAAAGAAAUGGUGAAUCAGACUGAACCAAAUGCUUCAUGAAGGCAUGAAGAAGUCUGGCAUUAUGGUCUUUUGUGAUGUAUGCCCAGGAGAACCCAAGCAAUUUGUUGUGGAAUAUACACUUGGUGGCCAGAAAUUUGAGGUGAUAGUUGAUGACACCCAGGAAUUAUUGAUUCCUCAAGACAGACACAGACUUUAGUUCAUGUUAAAGAGUGCUAGAUGUGAUCAGCCUACCUCGGACAAUUUUGCAUGUCUCCAUGCCAUUGAGGCUCUGACCAGCGGCAUAAGGAUUCGAAUAUGCUUUACUAGUAAACUUGAUCUCAUUUAAAACUUAUUUGCCAUUUGUAAUUGACAGAAACUGUCAUUAGUGUCACUAUUACAUUUUGGAUUAUUACAUUUUGUAUUUGUUUGUUGUAUUAGAUGUUUGUACUAUUAUAUUUUGUAAUGCAUUGUUAUUCUAGAUAUUUAUC